rnacentral:tRNA from 1 species
GGGGCAUUAGCUCAAUUGGCAGAGCAACGGACUCUUAAUCCGCAGGUUGUAGGUUCGAUUCCUACAUGCCCCACCA